CGCGGACCGCUUCAAGGUUCUGUGGUACCUCUGCUGGAAGACGUCUCCGUGGUUGAGUCACUGCUUAGAAAGCUUCCACAUCCUGCCUUCGCUGAGACACCAGGAGGAUAGACAGACAGAUAGAUAUGUAUUAUCUGAGGUGUUUACCAAAGCCGCACUACAGAGUAGAGAGAGGAGCCCACAGCACAUACACAUCAAGCGAAGGAUGUUCCAGUGCUCUGAUUUCUCAAGCAGAUAUACAGAAAACCCAUCGCCAAAGAAUGAAGAUGCCUUUUUGAAAAACGUGGAGCAGAAGUAGUCAAGGUGCAGUAAG
rnacentral:lncRNA from 1 species